rnacentral:rRNA from 1 species
UACGUAGGGGACGAGCGUUGUCCGGAAUUACUGGGCGUAAAGGGCGCGCAGGCGGUUUGUCAAGUCAGCUGUUAAAAAUGGGGGCUUAACCCUCAUAUGCUGUUGAAACUGGCAGACUGGAGUGCUGUAGAGGCAAGUGGAAUUCCCAGUGUAGCGGUGAAAUGCGUAGAUAUUGGGAAGAACACCGGUGGCGAAGGCGACUUGCUGGGCAGCAACUGACGCUGAGGCGCGAAAGCCAGGGGAGCAAACGGGAUUAGAUACCCCGGUAGUCCUGGCCGUAAACGAUGAAUGCUGGGUGUGGGUGUAGAGAUACAUCCGUGCCGGAGCUAACGCGAUAAGCAUUCCGCCUGGGGAGUACGGUCGCAAGAUUGAA